CACAGGGUGAACAUCUAGCAAGGCCCUGCCACCCCUUCAUGGAUGACAGGCUAACUCCAGAUGUAGUUUUGUAAUUUGUUACCAUUGACCGCAACUCUCUGCACUGCCCAGCUGCCCUCUCACUGGAGCACGGGAGCCACAGCCUCUCCCUUGGCAGCCCAGACAGCAUCCAGAUCCUGCCUGGAGCUUUGGGAGGACUGACCCCCUCCCUUCAUCUCCUCUGCUACAGAAACAAGCAACAAAUGGCAGAAAAGACAGCAGAGCUGUCCCUGGCAAGAGGAUCCAAGGAAGUGCAGCAAUGAUCCCAUGGCACUGUCACAGCAGGACGGGCUGGAGCCUGAGGCUGGCAGGGCACAGCUGGAACAUCUGUGGGAUGCCAAGCAGAGGAAACUGAUG